rnacentral:rRNA from 1 species
CCUGUUUAUCAAAAACAUGUCUUUUUGAUUUUAAUUUAAAGUNUAAUCUGCCCACUGAUUUAUUAAAGGGCUGCAGUAAUUUGACUGUACAAAGGUAGCAUAAUCAUUAGCCUUUUAAUUGAAGGCUUGUAUGAAAGAUUUGAUGAAAUAUAAACUGUCUCUAAUUUAAAAUUAAAAUUUAAUUUUUUAGUUAAAAAGCUAAAAUAAUUUUAAAAGACGAGAAGACCCUAUAGAGUUUUAUAAUUAAUAAUUUUAAAUAAUUAUAUAAAAUUUUAAUAUUUAAUAUUAUUCAUUAUUUUAUUGGGGUGAUAAAAAAAUUUAAUUAACUUUUUUUCUUGUUUAUCAAAAAUAAAUGAUUAAUUGAUCCUGUUUAAAGAUUAAAAGAAAUAAUUACCUUAGGGAUAACAGCGUAAUAUUUUUUUUUAGUACAAAUAAAAAAAAAAGUUUGCGACCUCGAUG